rnacentral:rRNA from 1 species
UAAAAUGGCCAUACUACCAUGAACAAGCCCAAUUCCAUCUGAUCUUGAAAGCUAAGCAGGGUCGGGCCUGGUUAGUACUUGGAUGGGAGUCCACCUAGGAAGACCAGGUGCUGUAGACA